rnacentral:rRNA from 1 species
UACGUAGGGUGCGAGCGUUGUCCGGAAUUCUUGGGCGUAAAGAGCUCGUAGGUGGCUUGUCGCGUCUGCCGUGAAAGCCCGUGGCUUAACUACGGGUCUGCGGUGGAUACGGGCAGGCUAGAGUGCGGUAGGGGAGACUGGAAUUCCUGGUGUAGCGGUGAAAUGCGCAGAUAUCAGGAGGAACACCGGUGGCGAAGGCGGCCUGCUGGGCAGUAGCUGACGCUGAGGCGCGACAGCGCGGGGAGCAAACAGG